ACAGCAGUAGCCGCGGUAAUACGAAGGGUGCAAGCGUUACUCGGAAUUACUGGGCGUAAAGCGUGCGUAGGUGGUGGUUUAAGUCCGUUGUGAAAGCCCUGGGCUCAACCUGGGAAUUGCAGUGGAUACUGGGUCACUAGAGUGUGGUAGAGGAUAGUGGAAUUUCCGGUGUAGCAGUGAAAUGCGUAGAGAUCGGAAGGAACAUCUGUGGCGAAGGCGACUAUCUGGGCCAACACUGACACUGAGGCACGAAAGCGUGGGGAGCAAACAGGAUUAGAUACCCCCCGUAGUCCCUGUCUCUUAUA
rnacentral:rRNA from 1 species